rnacentral:rRNA from 2 species
UUUAAUAUGAUUUGAUCCUGGCUCAGGACGAACGCUGGCGGCGUGCCUAAUACAUGCAAGUUGAGCGCUGAAGGUUGGUACUUGUACCAACUGGAUGAGCAGCGAACGGGUGAGUAACGCGUGGGGAAUCUGCCUUUGAGCGGGGGACAACAUUUGGAAACGAAUGCUAAUACCGCAUAAAAACUUUAAACACAAGUUUUAAGUUUGAAAGAUGCAAUUGCAUCACUCAAAGAUGAUCCCGCGUUGUAUUAGCUAGUUGGUGAGGUAACGGCUCACCAAGGCCACGAUGCAUAGCCGACCUGAGAGGGUGAUCGGCCACACUGGGACUGAGACACGGCCCAGACUC